rnacentral:rRNA from 1 species
AGCGAACGCUGGCGGCAGGCCUAACACAUGCAAGUCGAACGAACUCUUCGGAGUUAGUGGCGGACGGGUGAGUAACACGUGGGAACGUGCCUUUUGGUUCGGAAUAACUCAGGGAAACUUGUGCUAAUACCGAAUGUGCCCUUCGGGGGAAAGAUUUAUCGCCAUUAGAGCGGCCCGCGUCUGAUUAGCUAGUUGGUGAGGUAACGGCUCACCACGGCGACGAUCAGUAGCUGGUCUGAGAGGAUGACCAGCCACACUGGGACUGAGACACGGCCCAGACUCCUACGGGAGGCAGCAGUGGGGAAUCGUGCGCAAUGGGCGAAAGCCUGACGCAGCCAUGCCGCGUGAAUGAUGAAGGUCUUAGGAUUGUAAAAUUCUUUCAACGGGGACGAUAAUGACGGUACCCGGAGAAGAAGCCCCGGCUAACUUCGUG